GCGAGAACGAAGAGCUGUACUUCAUUUUCUUAUGUAAUUUUUUUUCAUCGUAACAUAGAUCGAUAAUAAGGAACACGAAACCCAUCGGUAAUCGGUCAAAAAAGAGAGCACCCAAACGGAACAGAGUAAACAGAGCCACAAAAUGAAAACGAAAAAGAGAUCCUGCUAAGAUUUUUCCUUCACCACACUAAUACUUCGAAACCAAAAGCUAAAAACUCAUAAAAGCCGGCCUAAUUUCUCCAUCCUCCUUCAGAUCCACCGCCGCCACCCCUGGAGUAACGAGAUCCACCAUCACCACCACCACCACCGUAGCCACGGUCACGUCCACCACCGUAACCACCUCCUCCGUAUCCACCUCCUCCUCCACCGUAACCACCGCCUCCACGGCUGUAACCACCACCGCCUCCUCCUUCACGGCGUCCACCGUAUCCACCUCCACCACCACCACCACCGCGGCUGUAACCACCGCCGCCACCUCCACCUCUUUGCUGCGCCUCGUUGACGGUAAUACUACGACCGUCAAGAUUCUGGCCGUUCAUUGCUUCAAUAGCACUUCUCAUCGCCUCCUCCUCAGCAAACGUAACGAAACCAAAUCCUCUCGACCUUCCGGUUUCACGAUCGUUGACGAUCUUGGCUUCAACGAUAUCGCCAAAUGGAGAGAAAGCCUUCUCUAAGGCAUUACUAUCAGUGGCCCAAGCAAGGCCACCCACAAAGCAACGGUACUCAACAGAAGAGGAAGCCAUUGAAUCAGAACGGAAAACCCUAACCCUAAAAAGGAAAAGAUUUAGAGAGAAAGAGGUGAAUCAACACAAAUCCCAA
rnacentral:misc_RNA from 1 species